rnacentral:rRNA from 1 species
CUUGACUGUAGCUUGGAAUUGGGUUCGGGCUCUUCUUGCGCAGCCUAGGUGGGAGGCUAUGAAGGCAGACUUUUGGGUUUGCUGGAGCCAACAGUGAGAGACCACUCUGGGAGAGCUAGAAUUCUAAUGGCGUUCUUUGAAGCAAGACGCUUGACAGUUUCAGGUGGGCAGUUUGACUGGGGCGGUCACCUCCUAAAAGGUAACGGAGGUGUGCAAAGGUUCCCUCAGGCUGGACGGAAAUCAGCCGUAGAGUGUAAAGGCAGAAGGGAGCUUGACUGCAAGACCUACAAGUCGAGCAGGGGCGAAAGCCGGCCUUAGUGAUCCGACGGUUCCGUGUGGAAGGGCCGUCGCUAAACGGAUAAAAGUUA